rfam:Brassica napus, WGS project CCCW01000000 data, contig: 9112
GCCCGUAUAGCUCAGUGGUAGAGCGUCAGUCUUGUAAACUGAAGGUCCAUAGUUCGAUCCUGUGUGUGGGCA